rnacentral:lncRNA from 1 species
UGGAGUCGGAGGGAUCGGAGGGAUCACGGGGCCAGGUGGUGGAUUGGGAUUGGAGGCGGUAUAGGAGGUGGUGUCGGCGGUUUGGGCGGUGCUGUGGGUGGCGGCGUUGGGGGAUUAGGUGGUGGAGUCGGCAGCGGCAUCGGAGGUGGCUAUGGAGGGGGCAUUGGUGGUGGCUCCGGCGUAUAUCCUUAAGCUUAUUGUGAUGUUUUCCAUGAAACCCUAGAGUGUGCAAAAAUCAUGCAGGAGACUCAUUUCCCAGUGUCUUUGUUCGUGUAUCAUUACGUAGUAUGCGUGCGAAUGUGUUUGUGUCGUGUCCAUUGACUUGUUCUCAUGUCCUGCCUUCUUCAGAUUGUACUUCUUGUUCUCUCGUUUCAUCGUGGAGUCUUCCAUACGCAAAUGUACCAUGCACUCGCCUAGCAUGUGUUUCAUGAUGUUAUCAGCAACGUAUUUUCUUUAUUCUUG